rnacentral:rRNA from 1 species
AGAGUGAACGCUGGCGGCAGGCCUAACACAUGCAAGUCGAACAGCAGCACAGGGGAGCUUGCUCCCUGGGUGGCGAGUGGCGGACGGGUGAGGAAUACAUCGGAAUCUGCCCAAUCGUGGGGGAUAACGUAGGGAAACUUACGCUAAUACCGCAUACGACCUUCGGGUGAAAGCGUGGGACCGCAAGGCCACGCGCGAUUGGAUGAGCCGAUGUCGGAUUAGCUUGUUGGCGGGUAAAAGCCCACCAAGGCGACGAUCCGUAGCUGGUCUGAGAGGAUGAUCAGCCACACUGGAACUGAGACACGGUCCAGACUCCUACGGGAGCAGCAGUGGGAAUAUUGGACAAUGGGCGCAAGCCUGAUCCAGCCAUGCCGCGUGUGUGAAGAAGGCCUUCGGUUGUAAAGCUACUUUUGUACCCGGAAAGAAAAGCUCUACGGUUAAUAGUCGAGAGUCCUGACGUACGGAAGAAUAAGCACCG